rnacentral:lncRNA from 1 species
GCAGGCCCUCCACAGGUGAUGUUGGGGGAGCAAUGGUCAGUAGCAUGGACACAUCUACUUGAGUGCUAGUGGUAGCACUAAGAAAUUUGUUCAGUGGAAAUCUGAUUGCCCUGCUUUACAAAGUACAACCCCAUGGCCCAUUUGAAAUCAAAGCAGCUGGCCACUAGGAGGUUGUGGAUUAAUCCAUCCAUGACCAGGUCCACUUUCCCUUCCUCUGGUUGAACAAAGCUCUUUUUAAAGGUGGGGGCCUGAAAGGUGAGCACAUUACACAAACAUGGAAACCCAAAAGCGGUGCAAGCUAAUGGCUAGCCAUGUUUCUUGUUCUUGGGGAGAGG